GGUUGGUGGGGUAAAGGCCUACCAAGGCAACGAUCAGUAGCCGGCCUGAGAGGGUGAACGGCCACAUUGGGACUGAGAUACGGCCCAGACUCCUACGGGAGGCAGCAGUUGAGAAUCUUGCACAAUGGGGGCAACCCUGAUGCAGCGACGCCGCGUGGAUGAUGAAGGCCUUCGGGUUGUAAAGUCCGAUAAGCAGGGAAGAAUAAGUGAGGGGUAAUAUUCCUCAUGAUGACGGUACCUGCCUAAAGCCCCGGCUAACUACGUGCCAGCAGCCGCGGUAAUACGUAUGGGGCGAGCGUUGUUCGGAAUUAUUGGGUGUAAAGGGCGUCUAGGCGGGAGAUUAAGUUAGAUGUGAAAGGCGUGGGCUCAACCCGCGAAUUGCAUCUAAAACUGGUUUUCUUGAGUUCGGGAGAGGAGAGCGGAAUUCUUGGUGUAGCGGUGAAAUGCGUAGAUAUCAAGAAGAACACCAGUGGCGAAGGCGGCUCUCUGGCCUAGAACUGACGCUGAAGCGCGAAAGCGUGGGUAGCGAACGGGAUUAGAUACCCCGGUAGUCCACGCCGUAAACGUUGUAUACUAGGUGUUAGUGGCUUGACU
rnacentral:rRNA from 1 species